ACGCUGGCGGCAGGCCUAACACAUGCAAGUCGAACGGUAACAUUUCUAGCUUGCUAGAAGAUGACGAGUGGCGGACGGGUGAGUAAUGCUUGGGAACUUGCCUUUGCGAGGGGGAUAACAGUUGGAAACGACUGCUAAUACCGCAUAAUGUCUUCGGACCAAACGGGGCUUCGGCUCCGGCGCAAAGAGAGGCCCAAGUGAGAUUAGCUAGUUGGUAAGGUAACGGCUUACCAAGGCGACGAUCUCUAGCUGUUCUGAGAGGAAGAUCAGCCACACUGGGACUGAGACACGGCCCAGACUCCUACGGGAGGCAGCAGUGGGGAAUAUUGCACAAUGGGGGAAACCCUGAUGCAGCCAUGCCGCGUGUGUGAAGAAGGCCUUCGGGUUGUAAAGCACUUUCAGUUGUGAGGAAAAGUUAGUAGUUAAUACCUGCUAGCCGUGACGUUAACAACAGAAGAAGCACCGG
rnacentral:rRNA from 1 species